AGUGAACGCUGGCGGUAGGCCUAACACAUGCAAGUCGAACGGCAGCACAGUAAGAGCUUGCUCUUACGGGUGGCGAGUGGCGGACGGGUGAGGAAUACAUCGGAAUCUACUUUUUCGUGGGGGAUAACGUAGGGAAACUUACGCUAAUACCGCAUACGACCUACGGGUGAAAGCAGGGGAUCUUCGGACCUUGCGCGAUUGAAUGAGCCGAUGUCGGAUUAGCUAGUUGGCGGGGUAAAGGCCCACCAAGGCGACGAUCCGUAGCUGGUCUGAGAGGAUGAUCAGCCACACUUGAACUUAGACACGGUCCAGACUCCUACGGGAGGCAGCAGUGGGGAAUAUUUGACAAUGGACGCAAGCCUGAUCCAGCCAUACCGCGUUGGUUAAGAAGGCCCUCGGGUUGUAAAGCCCUUUUGUUGGGAAAGAAAAGCAGCAGGUUAAUACCCCGCUGUUCUGACGGUACCCAAAGAAUAAGCACCGGCUAACUUCGUG
rnacentral:rRNA from 1 species